UAAAAGACAGAAAGAAAGAUGGCAGUAAUUGUAAUAUCCUGAGAUUUUUUCGCUCAGCCAAAAAUUCGUGCCAUUGAGCAAGUUUCACAGGGGCUGCCGCUGACUCGCUGCAGGACACAUAAAAUCUGAUCAAGUUCAGAGACGCGCUGAGUGCUUCAAGCGGCGCUUUUUAACUCCAAGCCUUUCACAUCCUUUUCCCCCUCAAUCUGUCCCAGGAAGGAGCUCACAUUCUUUAUUUUAGGGGAUCUGGACUAAAAAAAAAAGAAAAGAAAAAAGAAAAAAAGAAAGGAAAAAAAAAAAAGAAAGAAAAAAAAUUUCUUCAAAUCAGUCCUUCAUUCUGCUUUCGCCCUCAUCCUCCCGCAUUCACUCCCAGAACAUUUCCUCGAGAAAGAGUUAUAGAUUGAAAAAGCAGCCUGCACAGUGAGGCUGUCGAGCCAUUAGCGAGUCCCAGCACUGAUAAUGAAGCCACAGAGGUGGUCUGAGCCAGUGUGGCGCAGAAGCUGGAGCACAGGAGGAAGGUAGAUUAGGAUAAUUACCUGGCCGUGGGGGCACGAUGAGGAAGAUGUCUCACUUCCCGCGGGCCUCAAUCGGCAAAUGGGGCACAAUAUAAUCAGGUGUCCCCCCACAUCCCUCGCCUGUAUGUAUGUAUGUGUUUAUUUGUUGUUUACGUCACUGUGGUUUAGGUUUCUCACACAUACUGUUAGUAAGUCCUAAAUAUCC